UUCCGUAGGUGAACCUGCGGAGGGAUCAUUACAGAGUUGCAAAACUCCCUAAACCAUCGCGAACCUACCCCCAAAACAGUUGCUUCGGCGGCGCCCUGACCGGCCCGCCGGGGACCACCAAACUCUCUGUUCUUACACUGGCCUCUCUGAGUUAUUGUACUGUAAUAAGUCAAAACUUUCAACAACGGAUCUCUUGGUUCUGGCAUCGAUGAAGAACGCAGCGAAAUGCGAUAAGUAAUGUGAAUUGCAGAAUUCAGUGAAUCAUCGAAUCUUUGAACGCACAUUGCGCCCGCCAGUAUUCUGGCGGGCAUGCCUGUUCGAGCGUCAUUUCAACCAUCAAGCCCCCGGCUUGUGUUGGGGACCUGCGGCUGCCGCAGGCCCUGAAAUCCAGUGGCGGGCUCGCCGUAGCACCGAGCGCAGUAGCACACUUCUCGCUCCGGUGGCUGCGGCGGGCGCCUGCCGUAAAACCCCCCCACACCUCAAGGUUGACCUCGGAUCAGGUAGGAAUACCCGCUGAACUUAAGCAUAUCAAUAAACGGAGGAA
rnacentral:rRNA from 1 species